GCCUUCGUAGCUCAGUGGUAGAGCGUCGGUCUCGUAUGCUGUAGUAAGAAAACCGGAUGUCGAGAGUUCAAUCCUCUCUGAAGGCU
rnacentral:tRNA from 1 species